UCUGGCGUAGUCUAGCGGCUAGGAUAUCUGGUUCUCACCCAGAAGGCCCGGGUUCGAUUCCCAGGGUCGGAA
rnacentral:tRNA from 1 species